AAGUCGUAACAAGGUUUCCGUAGGUGAACCUGCGGUUGGAUCAUUAACAAAUUAAAGUGUUCGAUUGGAAAUUUCUUUCAAUCGAUCUCUACAUUAUGUGAACUUUUUAUUGAAUCUUGGUGAUUGUUCCAUGUCAAAGUACCUUUCCUAGUUCUAGGUGAGAUGGCUGAGAUAUGCUGACUUCACCAAAGUUAAACUUUAUGAAUAUAACAACUAGUCUUGAAUUUUAAUUAUAUCUUAAUUUAAAACAACUUUUGACAACGGAUCUCUAGGCUCUC
rnacentral:misc_RNA from 1 species